rnacentral:rRNA from 1 species
UGGGGAAUAUUGCACAAUGGGCGCAAGCCUGAUGCAGCCAUGCCGCGUGUAUGAAGAAGGCCUUCGGGUUGUAAAGUACUUUCAGCGGGGAGGAAGGGAGUAAAGUUAAUACCUUUGCUCAUUGACGUUACCCGCAGAAGAAGCACCGGCUAACUCCGUGCCAGCAGCCGCGGUAAUACGGAGGGUGCAAGCGUUAAUCGGAAUUACUGGGCGUAAAGCGCACGCAGGCGGUCUGUCAAGUCGGAUGUGAAAUCCCCGGGCUCAACCUGGGAACUGCAUUCGAAACUGGCAGGCUAGAGUCUUGUAGAGGGGGGUAGAAUUCCAGGUGUAGCGGUGAAAUGCGUAGAGAUCUGGAGGAAUACCGGUGGCGAAGGCAGCCCCCUGGACAAAGUCUGACGCUCAGGUGCGAAAGCGUGGGGAGCAAACAGG